GUGUGGGGCCCCCUGCAAAGGGGGGCUGCACCUGCUGGGAUGGCGCCGGGAGAGGGGGGCCGUCCACCUCCCCAGUGGGCUGGUUUGGAGGGUCAGCCCUUUCCAGGGGGUCCCUUUUCCCCCUCCCCCAAAGCAGCGGUGACCCCAAGGGUAAACUUUUAAUUAUAAAUCGUUCUUCAGUUUUGCUUCUGGUCCUGCCUAGGUAAGUGCUUUGGUUUUGUUGUUUUUCCAGGCGAAUUUAAACACAGGGGUUUUUUUAUUUACAGCUGGGUACGAUUUUCAUGUGAUUUAUUAUAUUUUUUUUAAUUUUUCCUACUUGGCUGGUGGGAAUAAAUCUCAGGUGGAACGUUUCACUGAGCAGCUUUCCCUGCCAGGCCACGCGUGAUGGGGAGGAGGAGCAGGCUCCCACUCCCCAAAAUCCCCCCACCAAAGCGGCCGCUGCUACAAAGAGAGGCCGGCGGGGGCUGCGAGUGUUUUUUAAAGGUCUUGGGUUCUGUGCUGCGAGUAGGCCCCGAGUCAGGAGGGAAAUACUGCAGGGAUCAGCAGGAAAGUGCCUGCCGGCCUGAGGUUUUGUUUGCAGCGUCCGACAGCAUCCCGUGGCAAACUGGCUGUUCUCUCCCCCGGUCUCCCUGGAGUUUUAGGGGGAGUGUGACGUGAAAAACACACUUUGUGAAAUAUCUCCGUGCUGUGUUAUCCGGGAAUAGUGCAGGGACGGUCGGGAGUGUGUUUUGCUAUUAAUGUUUGGCGGUGUGUUGGAUUUUAAGGUGGAAGCGCAGGGUGGUUUUCGUGCCGAGGGCUGUGCUCUCAGAACUGUGUUCCCUGUGUAUGAGCAUUUUCCUGCUCUCACUUUCAUUUUGGAGGUGGGAAAACCCAGCCCUUUUAUAAUCAGUUUAGGUCCAUUGUUUUCUUGAACUUCCGGCAAGAAUCACCCCUGCCAUGACAACAAAUUCGUUGCUUAAAUCAUGAGACUGUUGACGUUCGGAUUUGUUUGGGUCAAGUGAAAACCCCUGGAUGUUCUCAUUGCUGGCUCAUUUUUGCCUGAUUUGUGGUAUUCCCUAAUUCCAACCGGUGCUUUAGGAAUAAAAAAAGUGGGAAGGUGCUGUCAGUAGAGUCAGCGGGGUGGUGGUAAGUAAAACUGUUGCUCAGGGAGAAUUUGCUUCGGUUUUGAGGGAUGUGCCAAGAGUUGGAGUGGGAAUGCCGGCCAGCGUGCACGGGCUGUGCCCAGCUGAUCUUCCAGCAAGGUGCUGCUUUGGCUGGGAAGGGGCUUUUUUCCCGGGAAGGUGGCACUUGGAUGCCUUGACAGUUGAAGGCUGCAGUUUGCCUGGCUCUGGGGUGGUGCUGGGCUGUCCGAAGCUCUUAGUUCCCGGGGUUGCCUCUCCGGGUGUCGCUGGGGGGGAGCCUGCUGGGUCGGAUGGGGGGCUGUGCUGUUGUGGCUGUUGCUUUUGGUGAGUGUUGCAUGGAGCACACGAGGGAUGAAGUUUGGGGCUGCUCUGAGCACAGCCUAAAAACAAAAGGGCUUGGAAAGCCUGGAGAAGCUCCUAGAGGAGCUGGGGUUGCUGUGGUAGUGUGUCCUGUCCUGGGCACCCAACUGGACACCAUGAGCAGGAGAGACAGAGGGAGGGAGAAGUGUUAGAUGGAAAUGACAAGUUGGUGUUACAAAAGUGGGGAGGUUAAAAUGACACAGUUUCAUUUUUAUUUCUAGACAUGCCUGUUUUGAAAACAUUGUGUUUGACCGAUAUCUCUCCUUAACUCCUGAACUACUGAUCUGUGCUUGCAAUAUAUUCAAACACUUUCUUUUUGAUGCUUAUUCGGGUGUCCUGGUGAAGCUUAUUCAGGUGCCCUGGCUGGUUUUAUUCUCCACCAAAACCUGUGUUUGAUUAUAAACAAAAGCUGUUACCUCUCAGUGCUGCUCUGAGUGAGGCUCGGGGAGGAGAGUUCAUCCCUGAUUUACUGGAGUGCGGGGGGUCAUCUGAGUUCAGCCUUAUUUUUAGCCCUCUUUGGUUUCUUUUUUUUCUCUGUGUUUUGAUACAACUGUUGAGCCACUGUUACCUCACAGCCGAUAAAAGAGUUGCAGGUUUCUCUGACUUGGGCUUUUUAAACCAAAGCAGUUUCUUACUGGUGAACUUUGUAACUUUGGAAAUACCUGUGGUUUCAGACUUAAUGUAUCAUGAAAUUAAACAAUAUCUGUGUAAUUGGAAAUAAAUAAAAAUUGUGUGAGAGAGAAGUGUUCAGCAUGUGCAUGUAUCAAGGCAUGAGGGAGGGAAAAUUAAAAUACAGGGGGAAGAAAUAUUUUUUUUUAGAAAAUAAUAUUUUUUGAGAGAAAGAGAAGCUGGAAAGUGAUGGACAUGAAAAGCAGAAAUGUCUGGAUGUGAGAUUCAUUCUGUUUCCUGCUAAAUAAAAAGUUAUUGGAGCUGCUGUAAGACAAGACAGACUUGUGAGGAAUUUCCUUAACACGGUGGCUUUAAGAAGUUAAAUUUCCUGUGUAGAAGUAAGUUGGGAUAAUUCUGUGGCUCUGGUGGUGGUGAGUACUCAGCCAAACCUGAUUUCAGGCAGAAACUGUGCUCAGAAGUUGUCAGUAUAGAUCAGUCCUUCAAUUGGAGUCUGACCCUUAUUCGGGUGGAAAGGACAAGCGAGGGUGAAAUGACACACAGAAGGGAUAUUAUCAAAAGUAAAUCCCAAUCUGCCCUCCUUGGCUUUGACUGCCAGACUGCCUCUGCAGGAGAAGUUUCAGUGAAGUCUGGAGUGAGGCUUCUUCCAUAAAAAGGUGCAGUAACAAAGGUGCUGCAAGGGCACUGUGGGUCUUUGUGGCUUUACCUCAAUGGUACUUCUGACACAUGUCACACUCCACCCUGUUCUUUACUCUCCCACUUAGGAAUGAAGUAUUUUUUUGUGUGUCUUACAUUAAGCUGUUCUUUUAAAAGUCCCUGUGCUGUGAGUAAAUUUUGUGGAUCAAUAUAAUCAGGUCACCAGUUUCUUCCCAGCCUAGACGUGGGCAAACAUUGGCUUAUAAGGGACAGCCAGGUUGAGGGAUGGCACCUGGGGUGACAUCCCCAGCUGCUGGUUAAUGUGACACUGUUCAGUCAGAGCCAAAUCAGAGCUGUCUGCAGCUCAGGGCUGGUGUCAGUAGGGUUUUGUUUUCUUUUCCCAACUUCCUCACGUUUGGAGGGAGUUCCUGGUUGUUGAUGUGCAGACACAAUAAGCUUGACUUUAAUCUGUCCCCGUGGCUGCUUCCAUAUGGGAUUGGGCAUCUCUGAAAAAUUGAGUGUUCCUCAGGCUAUUGCAGGUUGUGGCAGGCUCGGGGUGAGUGCCAACAGACUGUUGCUAAUUUUUUUUCUCUUCUUCCUCCUUGUUAAUUCCUUUUCCGAGAAGCAGAGAGGAAGGUGUUUGGGGGACUGACCUCUGUGAAUUCCAUCACUGCUGUGCAAGGAAACGUGUGUUUUGCUAACAUUGCCUCAGUAAUUUAGUUUUAGUUUUUCCUCCAUUGUUCAGCUAACUGUGCUGUAGUCCCUUUCAGGAAGAGCUGUGCUGGUUCCUGCUGUGUUGGGUGGCAUCUUCUGGAUGCAAGCAGCUUCCCCAAAGCCCAGGAGGACAGCAAGAAAUACAGUAUGGCAUUGAGGAAUGUCUGAGGCUGUGUGGGAAGUCAGGGAGCGGAUGAUGUGGAACAGCUGGAAGAAGAAAAUAGAAUGUGUUCUUAAAAAAGAAAA